UAGGGAAUCUUCCGCAAUGGACGCAAGUCUGACGGAGCAACGCCGCGUGAGUGAAGAAGGGUUUCGGCUCGUAAAACUCUGUUGUUAAGGAAGAAUGACAGGCAGAGUAACUGCUGCCUGUGUGACGGUACUUAACCAGAAAGCCACGGCUAACUACGUGCCAGCAGCCGCGGUAAUACGUAGGUGGCAAGCGUUAUCCGGAAUUAUUGGGCGUAAAGCGCGCGUAGGCGGUUUUUUAAGUCUGAUGUGAAAGCCCCCGGCUCAACCGGGGAGGGUCAUUGGAAACUGGGGGACUUGAGUGCAGAAGAGGGGAGUGGAAUUCCAUGUGUAGCGGUGAAAUGCGCAGAGAUAUGGAGGAACACCAGUGGCGAAGGCGGCUCUCUGGUCUGUAACUGACGCUGAUGUGCGAAAGCGUGGGGAUCAAACAGG
rnacentral:rRNA from 1 species